UACGUAGGGGGCGAGCGUUAUCCGGAUUUACUGGGUGUAAAGGGAGCGUAGACGGUUCUGCAAGUCUGAAGUGAAAGCCCGUGGCUUAACCGCAGAACGGCUUUGGAAACUGUGGAACUGGAGUGCUGGAGAGGCAAGCGGAAUUCCUAGUGUAGCGGUGAAAUGCGUAGAUAUUAGGAGGAACACCAGUGGCGAAGGCGGCUUGCUGGACAGUAACUGACGUUGAGGCUCGAAAGCGUGGGGAGCAAACAGG
rnacentral:rRNA from 1 species